AUUGAACGCUGGCGGCAGGCCUAACACAUGCAAGUCGAACGAGUGGCGGAAGGGAGAGUAAUGUCUGGGAAACUGCCUGAUGGAGGGGGAUAACUACUGGAAACGGUAGCUAUUACCGCAUACCAUCGGAUGUGCCCAGAUGGGAUUAGCUAGUAGGUGGGGUAAAGGCUCACCUAGGCGACGAUCCCUAGCUGGCCUGAGAGGAGGACCAGCCCCACGGUAACUGAGACACGGUCCAGACUCCGACGGGAGGCAGCAGUGGGGAAUAGUGCAAAAUGGGCGCAAGCCGGAUGCAGCCAUGCCGCGUGUAGGAAGAAGGCCUUCGGGUUGUAAAGUACUUGCAGCGGGGAGGCGUUACCCGCAGAAGAAGCACCGGCUAACUCCGUGCCAGCAGCCGCGGUAAUUC
rnacentral:rRNA from 1 species